rnacentral:lncRNA from 1 species
AGAGCCACAGUAGAAUUUAAGUCCUAAAGAACCUAGCACAAAAGAAAAAAAAAAUAUGCAAAGAACAUGAGACAGAUAUGUCCAGCUAGGUCAGAGGACAAGCAACAGGAAGAUUAGGAAAGACCUCUGAUUAGCUCUUUUUUUUCCCCAAUGGUUUGUAGGGUCACAAGUCAACAAUGAAACACUGGGGAAGGAUGGGAUACGCUAAGUAAGAGAAAAUAAAGGAAAAUAUUUUUACAGGUUGUAAGGAAGUCCCUGGAGGAAGCCUAAUUGAGUGCAAGCUGCAAAAAACUUCAUUUCAUUUGUUUCCUGUUCUCUCUGGUUCUAAACAAAGUUGGCAUUCCAUUUUUUAAAAAUGUGCUAUAGGAUCAAAUGAAGGAAGAAAGAGGAGAAAAGGUGGACCUUGUGUUACAUAAAGGCUAAUUCGUUGCACCAACUUAACAGAGGAAAGCAGGAGCAAUUAUGUUCAGAGAAGAAACAGGACUGAUGCUCUAAUAAAAGAAGCUGCAAGGACCCAUCCGACCCUUGAAUUUUGUGACAUUUCGCACUGCCCGAGGACCUAUUCUGCCCUGAGAACACCAAGGAAGACAUCCUCAUCACAGCAAAACUGGCACUGUGGCCUGGAGCUUGCCAGCCUCUCAAACUAUAAGAAAUAAUUCUACAUAAAAUUACUCCGUCUCAGGUGUUUUGUUAGAACUGCACAACAGACUAAGACAACUUUGUGAAUGAAAUUAGGCAUGGAAACAAAGAGGAACAAAAUAAUACUUAGGCUGUAUAACUGGCCAUACAUUUUUCUGAGUGUUUUUAGUUUAAAAUCCAUUCAUUAACCUUAAAUAUAAGUUAAAUGAUUUCCACUUUAUAGAGAAGAAAAGUUGAAGCCCAUAAAGGCCAGAUGAUUACAAUGAAAAAAAAAUGUGUAAGUGGAAAGGUCAGUCCAAAGCUGUAUCUGUCUGCAGCACCCACCUGCCACUACAUUGGAAUUACACUGUUAAGGGUGAAUUUCAUAUAAAAGUCAAUACCAUUUGACAUCCCAUGUAAUCCAUCAUACCAUGCCAAUUACAAGCAUAGCUAUAUUUAAUGGAUUUAAUACAAAUGGGCCAAUGAACAUCUGAGAGAAACAACUGUAGAAGAUGUUCAACUCUCUUCAUCAACUAUCGUGCCAUAAGGUAUCCUAAGCAUUCUAGUCUCUCAGUGACUUUCAGCCUUCUGGUGAAAGAAGGUGCAAGGCUCUGACCCUCUCUUAUCCACAUAGCUCAGGAUGGAUAUCACCCUUUACAUACAACUGCCUGGCAAACAUGUUAUCCCACCAGGGUUACAAUAGCCAACAUUUUCAUACUCAACUGCAAGUUCAUCCCACUCUCUGCGUAGGCAAAGACAACGCAUUUUUCAUGGCAUUCCAUUUCUAUUAUGAACAUAUUCAUAGGUUUAAAUCACAAAUUUAAAUCUCUUUUCUACCUCAUGCACCUAACAAUUGAUCCUCAUAGCAGAAAGAAGAAUUCUGGGUACAGGCAGUCACAGACAGAUGCAACAUUCCUCCAUGGGCACCUCUGGGUUAGUAGGUGGGGUAAUUUUCUGUUUCCAGAGUUCCCUAACAAUACCAUAUCAAAAACUUGAUACUCAU